UACGUAGGGUGCAAGCGUUGUCCGGAUUUAUUGGGCUUAAAGGGUGCGUAGGCGGCCCUGUAAGUCAGUGGUGAAAUACUCCAGCUUAACUGGAGGGGUGCCAUUGAUACUGCAGGGCUUGAGUGGAGUCGAAGUAGGCGGAAUUGACGGUGUAGCGGUGAAAUGCUUAGAUAUCGGCAAGAACACCGAUAGUGAAGGCAGCUUACUAGGCUUCUACUGACGCUGAGGCACGAAAGUGUGGGGAUCAAACAGG
rnacentral:rRNA from 1 species